AUAAGGUCAAGCUACAAAGGGCGCAUGGUGAAUGCCUUGGCACUAGGAGCCGAUGAAGGACGUGAUAAGCUGCGAUAAGCUUCGGGUAGGCGCAAAUAGCUUGUGAACCGAAGAUUUCCGAAUGAGGAAACUCUCAUGGGUAACCCCAUGAACUGUAUACUGAAUUCAUAGGUAUAUAGAGGUAAACCCGGGGAACUGAAACAUCUAAGUACCUGGAGGAAGAGAAAGAAAAAUCGAUUUCCUUAGUAGCGGCGAGCGAAACGGAAAGAGCCCAAACCGGAAACUUGUUUCCGGGGUUGCGGUUAGAUCAUUAAAGCUUUAUAUCUUAACCGAAGAUUUCUGGAAAGUUAAACCAUAGAAGGUAAUAGUCCUGUAGGUAAAAAGAGAAAAAAGCCCGAUCUGUACCAGAGUACCACGAGACACGUGAAACCUUGUGGGAAGCUGGGAGGACCACCUCCCAAGGCUNAAUCGAUUUCCUUAGUAGCGGCGAGCGAAACGGAAAGAGCCCAAACCGGAAACUUGUUUCCGGGGUUGCGGUCAGAUCAUUAAGGCUUUAUAUCUUAACCGAAGAUUUCUGGAAAGUUAAACCAUAGAAGGUAAUAGUCCUGUAGGUAAAAAGAGAAAAAAUCCCGAUCUGUACCAGAGUACCACGAGACACGUGAAACCUUGUGGGAAGCUGGGAGGACCACCUCCCAAGGCUAAAUACUACCUAGUGACCGAUAGUGAAGAAGUACCGUGAGGGAAAGGUGAAAAGAACCCCAGGAGGGGAGUGAAAUAGAACCUGAAACCGUGUNCUGGAAAGUUAAACCAUAGAAGGUAAUAGUCCUGUAGGUAAAAAGAGAAAAAAGCCCGAUCUGUACCAGAGUACCACGAGACACGUGAAACCUUGUGGGAAGCUGGGAGGACCACCUCCCAAGGCUAAAUACUACCUAGUGACCGAUAGUGAAGAAGUACCGUGAGGGAAAGGUGAAAAGAACCCCAGGAGGGGAGUGAAAUAGAGCCUGAAACCGUGUGUCCACAACCGAUCAAAACACGUUAAUGUGUGAUGAUGUGCUUUUUGUAGAACGAGCCAGCGAGUUACGGUAUGCAGCAAGGUUAAGCACUUAAGGUGCGCAGCCGAAGGGAAACCAAGUCUGAAUAGGGCGUAUAGUUGCAUGCUGUAGACCCGAAACCGGGUGANAAAAGAACCCCAGGAGGGGAGUGAAAUAGAACCUGAAACCGUGUGUCCACAACCGAUCAAAACACGUUAAUGUGUGAUGAUGUGCUUUUUGUAGAACGAGCCAGCGAGUUACGGUAUGCAGCAAGGUUAAGCACUUAAGGUGCGCAGCCGAAGGGAAACCAAGUCUGAAUAGGGCGUAUAGUUGCAUGCUGUAGACCCGAAACCGGGUGACCUAUCCAUGGCCAGGGUGAAGCGGAAGUAAAAUUCCGUGGAGGCCCGAACCACAAUGGUGUUGAAAAACCAUGGGAUGAGCUGUGGAUAGGGGAGAAAUUCCAAUCGAACUCGGAUAUAGCUGGUUCUCCUCGAAAUAGCUUUAGGGCUAGCGCCAUGAAUGAGUACCGGAGGUAGAGCACUGAAUGAGGUAGGGGCUGACAACAGUUACCGAACUUUAUCAAACUCCGAAUGCUGGAUACUUGAAUCAUGGUAGUCAGACUGCGAAUGAUAAGAUCCGUAGUCAAAAGGGAAACAGCCCAGAUCACCAGCUAAGGUCCCAAAGUAUAGAUUAAGUGGUAAAGGAUGUGGGAUUUCUAAGACAACUAGGAUGUUGGCUCAGAAGCAGCCAUACAUUAAAAGAGUGCGUAAUAGCUCACUAGUCAAGAGAUCCUGCGCCGAAAAUGUCCGGGGCUAAAAUCUAACACCGAAGCUGUGAACUUGUACUUCGUACAAGUGGUAGAGGAGCAUCCUGUAUGGGCUGAAGUCGUACCGAAAGGAGCGGUGGACUGUACAGGAGAGAGUAUGCUGGCAUAAGUAGCGAGAACUAAGUGAGAAUCUUAGUGGUCGAAAACCUAAGGUUUCCUGGGGAAGGUUCGUCCGCCCAGGGUAAGUCGGGACCUAAGCCGAGGCCGAAAGGCGUAGGUGAUGGACAAUCGGUUGAUAUUCCGAUACCGCAGAGUAACGUUAUGAGAAAUGGGAUGACGCAGGAGGAUAGGAUAUGCGUACGUUAUUGGAAGUACGCCUAAGCACUGAGGAUGAAAGAUAGGAAAAUCCGUCUUUCGUUAAGUCUGGGGUGUAAUGGUGAGGUAGUUUACUACCGAAAUAUCUGAUUUCAUGCUGCCAAGAAAAGUCUCUAUCCAGGAGUUCUGUGCCCGUACCGCAAACCGACACAGGUAGGUGAGGAGAGAAUCCUAAGACCAUCGGAAGAAUUGCUGUUAAGGAACUCGGCAAAUUGACCCCGUAACUUCGGGAGAAGGGGUGCCUANCUGGCAUAAGUAGCGAGAACUAAGUGAGAAUCUUAGUGGUCGAAAACCUAAGGUUUCCUGGGGAAGGUUCGUCCGCCCAGGGUAAGUCGGGACCUAAGCCGAGGCCGAAAGGCGUAGGUGAUGGACAAUCGGUUGAUAUUCCGAUACCGCAGAGUAACGUUAUGAGAAAUGGGAUGACGCAGGAGGAUAGGAUAUGCGUACGUUAUUGGAAGUACGUCUAAGCACUGAGGAUGAAAGAUAGGAAAAUCCGUCUUUCGUUAAGUCUGGGGUGUAAUGGUGAGGUAGUUUACUACCGAAAUAUCUGAUUUCAUGCUGCCAAGAAAAGUCUCUAUCCAGGAGCUCUGUGCCCGUACCGCAAACCGACACAGGUAGGUGAGGAGAGAAUCCUAAGACCAUCGGAAGAAUUGCUGUUAAGGAACUCGGCAAAUUGACCCCGUAACUUCGGGAGAAGGGGUGCCUACGAGAGUAGGUCGCAGAGAAUAGGCCCAAGCAACUGUUUAUCAAAAACACAGGUUUCUGCUAAAGCGAAAGCUGAAGUAUAGGAGCUGACGCCUGCCCGGUGCUGGAAGGUUAAGGGGAAUGCUUAGCGCAAGCGAAGGCAUGAACUUAAGCCCCAGUAAACGGCGGCCGUAACUAUAACGGUCCUAAGGUAGCGAAAUUCCUUGUCGGGUAAGUUCCGACCCGCACGAAUGGCGUAAUGAUUUGGGCACUGUCUCAACAGCAAAUCCGGCGAAAUUGUAGUGCAAGUGAAGAUGCUUGCUACNGCUGACGCCUGCCCGGUGCUGGAAGGUUAAGGGGAAUGCUUAGCGCAAGCGAAGGCAUGAACUUAAGCCCCAGUAAACGGCGGCCGUAACUAUAACGGUCCUAAGGUAGCGAAAUUCCUUGUCGGGUAAGUUCCGACCCGCACGAAUGGCGUAAUGAUUUGGGCACUGUCUCAACAGCAAAUCCGGCGAAAUUGUAGUGCAAGUGAAGAUGCUUGCUACCCGCGAUUGGACGGAAAGACCCCGUAGAGCUUUACUGUAUCUUAGCAUUGAAUCUCGGUAUUGUCUGUACAGAAUAGGUGGGAGACUUGGAAGCAGUUCCGUCAGGGAUUGUGGAGUCGUCUUUGGGAUACCACCCUGACAGUACUGGGGUUCUAACCGGAGGCCAUGAAACUGGUCACGGGACAUAGCUAGGAGGGCAGUUUGACUGGGGCGGUCGCCUCCUAAAAAGUAACGGAGGCGCCCAAAGGUUCCCUCAGCGCGGUUGGAAACCGCGCGUAGAGUGCAAAGGCAGAAGGGAGCCUGACUGCGACACAAACAAGUGGAGCAGAGACGAAAGUCGGGCUUAGUGAUCCGGUGACACCUCGUGGGAGGGUCAUCGCUCAACGGAUAAAAGCUACCUCGGGGAUAACAGGCUGAUCUCCCCCAAGAGUCCACAUCGACGGGGAGGUUUGGCACCUCGAUGUCGGCUCGUCGCAUCCUGGGGCUGAAGUAGGUCCCAAGGGUUGGGCUGUUCGCCCAUUAAAGCGGCACGCGAGCUGGGUUCAGAACGUCGUGAGACAGUUCGGUCCCUAUCCGUCGCGGGCGAAGGAAAUUUGAGAGGAGCUGUCCUUAGUACGAGAGGACCGGGAUGGACUGACCUCUGGUGUACCAGUUGUCUUACCAAAGGCACGGCUGGGUAGCUAUGUCGGGAAGGGAUAAACGCUGAAGGCAUCUAAGCGUGAAGCCCACCUCAAGAUUAGAUUUCCCAUAACAUAAGUUAGUAAGACCCCUGUAAGAACAACAGGUGAUAGGUCAGAGGUGUAAGAAUGGUAACAUUUUAAGCUGACUGAUACUAAUAGGUCGAGGGCUUGACCAAU
rnacentral:rRNA from 2 species